GNGCAGGCACAGCGGUGCGACGAGAUGCUGC
rnacentral:piRNA from 1 species